rnacentral:tRNA from 1 species
GAAGAGUGCCUGAAUUAAAGGGUUACUUUGAUAGAGUAAAUAAUGAAUGUUAAACUCCUUCCUCUUC